rnacentral:rRNA from 1 species
ACACUAUCAUUAACUGAAUCCAUAGGUUAAUGAGGCGAACCGGGGGAACUGAAACAUCUAAGUACCCCGAGGAAAAGAAAUCAACCGAGAUUCCCCCAGUAGCGGCGAGCGAACGGGGAGGAGCCCAGAGCCUGAAUCAGUGUGUGUGUUAGUGGAAGCGUCUGGAAAGGCGCGCGAUACAGGGUGACAGCCCCGUACACAAAAAUGCACAUGCUGUGAGCUCGAUGAGUAGGGCGGGACACGUGGUAUCCUGUCUGAAUAUGGGGGGACCAUCCUCCAAGGCUAAAUACUCCUGACUGACCGAUAGUGAACCAGUACCGUGAGGGAAAGGCGAAAAGAACCCCGGCGAGGGGAGUGAAAAAGAACCUGAAACCGUGUACGUACAAGCAGUGGGAGCACAGAGCAAUCUGUGUGACUGCGUACCUUUUGUAUAAUGGGUCAGCGACUUAUAUUCUGUAGCAAGGUUAACCGAAUAGGGGAGCCGAAGGGAAACCGAGUCUUAACCGGGCGUUAAGUUGCAGGGUAUAGACCCGAAACCCGGUGAUCUAGCCAUGGGCAGGUUGAAGGUUGGGUAACACUAACUGGAGGACCGAACCGACUAAUGUUGAAAAAUUAGCGGAUGACUUGUGGCUGGGGGUGAAAGGCCAAUCAAACCGGGAGAUAGCUGGUUCUCCCCGAAAGCUAUUUAGGUAGCGCCUCGUGAAUUCAUCUCCGGGGGUAGAGCACUGUUUCGGCAAGGGGGUCAUCCCGACUUACCAACCCGAUGCAAACUGCGAAUACCGGAGAAUGUUAUCACGGGAGACACACGGCGGGUGCUAACGUCCGUCGUGAAGAGGGAAACAACCCAGACCGCCAGCUAAGGUCCCAAAGUCAUGGUUAAGUGGGAAACGAUGUGGGAAGGCCCAGACAGCCAGGAUGUUGGCUUAGAAGCAGCCAUCAUUUAAAGAAAGCGUAAUAGCUCACUGGUCGAGUCGGCCUGCGCGGAAGAUGUAACGGGGCUAAACCAUGCACCGAAGCUGCGGCAGCGACACUGUGUGUUGUUGGGUAGGGGAGCGUUCUGUAAGCCUGUGAAGGUGUGCUGUGAGGCAUGCUGGAGGUAUCAGAAGUGCGAAUGCUGACAUAAGUAACGAUAAAGCGGGUGAAAAGCCCGCUCGCCGGAAGACCAAGGGUUCCUGUCCAACGUUAAUCGGGGCAGGGUGAGUCGACCCCUAAGGCGAGGCCGAAAGGCGUAGUCGAUGGGAAACAGGUUAAUAUUCCUGUACUUGGUGUUACUGCGAAGGGGGGACGGAGAAGGCUAUGUUGGCCGGGCGACGGUUGUCCCGGUUUAAGCGUGUAGGCUGGUUUUCCAGGCAAAUCCGGAAAAUCAAGGCUGAGGCGUGAUGACGAGGCACUACGGUGCUGAAGCAACAAAUGCCCUGCUUCCAGGAAAAGCCUCUAAGCAUCAGGUAACAUCAAAUCGUACCCCAAACCGACACAGGUGGUCAGGUAGAGAAUACCAAGGCGCUUGAGAGAACUCGGGUGAAGGAACUAGGCAAAAUGGUGCCGUAACUUCGGGAGAAGGCACGCUGAUAUGUAGGUGAAGUCCCUCGCGGAUGGAGCUGAAAUCAGUCGAAGAUACCAGCUGGCUGCAACUGUUUAUUAAAAACACAGCACUGUGCAAACACGAAAGUGGACGUAUACGGUGUGACGCCUGCCCGGUGCCGGAAGGUUAAUUGAUGGGGUCAGCGCAAGCGAAGCUCUUGAUCGAAGCCCCGGUAAACGGCGGCCGUAACUAUAACGGUCCUAAGGUAGCGAAAUUCCUUGUCGGGUAAGUUCCGACCUGCACGAAUGGCGUAAUGAUGGCCAGGCUGUCUCCACCCGAGACUCAGUGAAAUUGAACUCGCUGUGAAGAUGCAGUGUACCCGCGGCAAGACGGAAAGACCCCGUGAACCUUUACUAUAGCUUGACACUGAACAUUGAGCCUUGAUGUGUAGGAUAGGUGGGAGGCUUUGAAGUGUGGACGCCAGUCUGCAUGGAGCCGACCUUGAAAUACCACCCUUUAAUGUUUGAUGUUCUAACGUGGACCCGUGAUCCGGGUUGCGGACAGUGUCUGGUGGGUAGUUUGACUGGGGCGGUCUCCUCCUAAAGAGUAACGGAGGAGCACGAAGGUUGGCUAAUCCUGGUCGGACAUCAGGAGGUUAGUGCAAUGGCAUAAGCCAGCUUGACUGCGAGCGUGACGGCGCGAGCAGGUGCGAAAGCAGGUCAUAGUGAUCCGGUGGUUCUGAAUGGAAGGGCCAUCGCUCAACGGAUAAAAGGUACUCCGGGGAUAACAGGCUGAUACCGCCCAAGAGUUCAUAUCGACGGCGGUGUUUGGCACCUCGAUGUCGGCUCAUCACAUCCUGGGGCUGAAGUAGGUCCCAAGGGUAUGGCUGUUCGCCAUUUAAAGUGGUACGCGAGCUGGGUUUAGAACGUCGUGAGACAGUUCGGUCCCUAUCUGCCGUGGGCGCUGGAGAACUGAGGGGGGCUGCUCCUAGUACGAGAGGACCGGAGUGGACGCAUCACUGGUGUUCGGGUUGUCAUGCCAAUGGCACUGCCCGGUAGCUAAAUGCGGAAGAGAUAAGUGCUGAAAGCAUCUAAGCACGAAACUUGCCCCGAGAUGAGUUCUCCCUGACCCUUUAAGGGUCCUGAAGGAACGUUGAAGACGACGACGUUGAUAGGCCGGGUGUGUAAGCGCAGCGAUGCGUUGAGCUAACCGGUACUAAUGAACCGUGAGGCUUAACCUU